AUACAGAGGGUGCAAGCGUUAUUCGGAAUUACUGGGCGUAAAGCGCGUGUAGGCGGGCUAUCAAGUCAGGUGUGAAAUCCCUGAGCUCAACUCAGGAAUUGCAUUUGAAACUGGUAGUCUUGAGUCCGGAAGAGGGAGGCAGAAUUCCAGGUGUAGAGGUGAAAUUCGUAGAUAUCUGGAGGAAUACCGGAGGCGAAGGCGGCUUCCUGGUCCGGAACUGACGCUGAGGAUGCGAAGGCGUGGGUAGCAAACAGGAUUAGAUACCCUGGUAGUCCACGCGGUAAACGAUGUUCACUUGCCGUUUGAGGUAUUGACCCCUUGAGUGGCGUAGCUAACGCGAUAAGUGAACCGCCUGGGGAGUACGAUCGCAAGAUUAAA
rnacentral:rRNA from 1 species